ensembl:lncRNA
GUCAGGCAUGUCAGUGGGUUGGAGGUCUGUGCUGACUGCUGUAUCUCCACGCUGACCCGGCCCGGUGGUCAGGCAUGUCAGUGGGUUGGAGGUCCGUGCUGACUGCUGUAGUUCCACGCUGACCCGGCCCGGUGGUCAGGCAUGUCAGUGGGUUGAUGGGGUGUUGUAUUAAAAACACGGUGUAGCUAUUCAACAGUGACUUACAGCAGAGUAGGUGUGUGUCAGCGGUCGUCAUCUGCAGCGGGUCUCCAUGGUAAUGGCUUGGGGUUAGUGUCUUAAUGUGAUGUGUUUGUGGUCUAACUGUCCCUUUGUGAGCAGUGGACGGCGCUCGGGACAAAAUGAGAUUAGCUUUGUGUUUAGCGUCACCAAGCGAUCCUUUGUCCACACUGUUCAAUAAAACCUAACUGGCCGACAUCCAGCAGGCAUAAUGUACCUCAGAACACAGAAUAGCCUUCAUACGACUGGAAAACAAAGGCCUGGGGUUUAAUGGGACCAUGAAAUCCCUGUGGAUCAGUCUCACCAGCUGAAAGUUCAACAGUCUCCAAGAUGUCUUAUCACCACCUAUUCACAGUGCUUCAGGACAUGAUGUAGAUUAAGUUUAAAAAUUCUAACGGAUUUAAAGAAAUAUCAAAAGAGAAAUCAUAAUAUAUAUUCUUACAUUGUGUGUUUGAGUUGUCAAAGAAGUGCUAUAAACUUGGUAUAAUUAUAAUCACAUUUCAUACACAGCUCACUAUGAACCAGUUUCAGGAUCACAUACUGUAGCUCUUUAGAUCAGAAGGGGAAUGUGAAGCUGGACAGAUUCUCUGUGUUGUUGAGAUAAUAGAAAACUUCCACACCAAAGAAGAAUAUAAUUAAUUUCUCUGCUUCUCUCUCUCUCUCUCUCUCGUCUUUCUCCCUUUUUCCUCUCUGUUGUCUUUUCUCUCUCUACUUCUCCCUAAUUCCUCUCUUCCUCUACCUCUCUUUCCUUCCCUCUCUUCUCUCCCAGACUUCUGAGGAAGCAAAGAUGUGAAAAGGCUGGAAAAUAGUGGCUCAUGUAAUAAUAUCAAACAAUAAUAAUGUAAUCAUGUUAUAUAUUUAAAUAAUAAUAUAAUUGUGCUGGUGUGGGAAAUGAGACCAUAAUUAAGUCCAUGAUUAAAACCAAUCACUGAAAUAUCCCUGCUUCUGAAACGCCUUUUUGAUAUAUUCUGUGAUCUGAGGGAUACUGGACUGGUUGGUUUCGAGAUUCACAGAGUAAGUAAGCCUUGUCCAAGCUAGAAUAGGAUCAACUCUGUGAAAAUGCUUGUUGAACAAGACCAGAUCUUCAACAGAACUUAGUUUCUUCUUGAUUAGGGUUUCAUGUUGGUAAGUUAUCAGGGUUGUUAUAAGUUAAAAAGGUUGAAAAGAGAGACAUCUGCACUUUUCAUAAGGGACAUUGAGAUACAGGGUGAGUGGAAUAUGUCAGAGGUGAUGUUGUUGCUGGAGGUGAUGGUGAUGCUGGAGGUGAUGGUGAUGCUGGAGGUAAUGUUGCUGGAGGGGAUGGGGAUGCUGGAGGUGAUGGUGAUGCUGGAGGUAAUGUUGCUGGAGGGGAUGGUGUUGCUGGAGGUGAUGGUGAUGCUGGAGGUGAUGGUGAUGCUGGAGGUGAUGGUGUGGCUGGAGGUGAUGGUGUGGCUGGAGGUGAUGGUGUGGCUGGAGGUGACGAUGUUCUUGGUGAUGACGGUGAUGUAUUUGUCUUUAUUUAACUGCCUCAGAGCAGAGCUGAAAACAGAUAUUUAAUACCUCUGUCAGGAAGAGAGAAGAGGAAAGGAGAUGGAGAGAGAGAGAGAGCGGGAGAGAGAUAGAGAGAGAGAGAGAGAGAGAGAGAGGACAGGGCAAAAAAGGAGCAUCUGGUUACUAUAAGGUACAGAAGGGGGGGGGUGAAUUUAUUGACACAGAGAACUUGAUUGGGAGAGAAAAAGGGGAAGAGGGUGGAAGACAGAGUGGGGGGUCAAUGUGUUCAGGGCUCAAUAUUGAUCAUGUGAGGGUUGCGGUUAGGUGAUGUUUAGGGUUUAGGGUUAGGGUUUAGGGUUAGGUUGAGGGUUAGAGAUAGAUUAUUAGGGUUAGGGUUUAGGGUUAGGUUGAGGGUUAGAGAUAGAUUAUUAGGGUUAGGGUUUAGGGUUAGGUUGAGGGUUAGGUUGAGGGUUAGAGAUAGAUUAUUAGGGUUAGGGUUUAGGGUUAGGUUGAGGGUUAGAGAUAGAUUAUUAGGGUUAGGGUUAAGGGUUAGGUUGAGGGUUAGCCAUGGGGUUGUUCUGUUACACAGUUAGCCCUUUUUCUGUAUUUUAUUCCAAUAGAAUAGUUUUCACACACAUUUUCUCAACCAGAAAACUUACAGGCUGAUCUACACACACACACACAGAUACACACGCACACGCACACACACAUACACACACACACCUUUGGCCACAAGUGUGUUCAGGAGUGCUUCUGUCUGUGUACUCAUCGUGCACCAGCCAGCCUGUUAG